rnacentral:rRNA from 1 species
GAUGAACGCUGGCGGCGUGCCUAAUACAUGCAAGUCGAGCGAACAGACGAGGAGCUUGCUCCUUUGACGUUAGCGGCGGACGGGUGAGUAACACGUAGGUAACCUACCUAUAAGACUGGGGUAACUUCGGGAAACCGGAGCUAAUACCGGUUAAUAUUUCGAACCGCAUGGUUCGAUAGUGAAAGAUGGCUUUGCUAUCACUUAUAGAUGGACCUGCGCCGUAUUAGCUAGUUGGUAAGGUAACGGCUUACCAAGGCAACGAUACGUAGCCGACCUGAGAGGGUGAUCGGCCACACUGGAACUGAGACACGGUCCAGACUCCUACGGGAGGCAGCAGUAGGGAAUCUUCCGCAAUGGGCGAAAGCCUGACGGAGCAACGCCGCGUGAGUGAUGAAGGUCUUCGGAUCGUAAAACUCUGUUAUUAGGGAAGAACAAACGUGUAAGUAACUGUGCACGUCUUGACGGUACCUAAUCAGAAAGCCACGGCUAACUACGUG